UAAAGCAUAAACAACGGCGUCGUUUUGUUCGAAAACAAAGGGCACCGUCCCCCUCUCCCUUCUUUCUCUCACAAACCCAACCCUAAACCCUAUUAGAGCAGAGCAACAUCCCGCUUUUCCAUCGCCGAGCUACUCUCCGUCAGCCAGAGGCUGCCGUCGCAGCCGGACUAGCCUCAACCGAGCAUCCCACUUCUCCCAUUAGCGUCACUCACGUGCACAGAACCCACGAGCACGUUCGUUUUUUGCCGGCGCUCUUCGAUUUCCCGUCGCGAUCCUUUUCUUGUCGUCGACUGCUCGGGUUUGCUUGCUUCAACAAUUGUGUAAUCAAAUCUCAAUUAAGAACCAUUUCUAAUCUGAAGAUUAUUGCUGUGCUUGAUUUCCCACUGCACUACAAUCCAACUAAUGCCAUCACUCUUUAACUCCUGUAUAAUUUACAUGUCCACUAUGUAUUCUAUGCACAUGAUGUUUCCAGUUAUCCAUG